GACGAACCGUCCAAACGUUAUUCGGUAUCACUGGGCUUAAAGCGUGCGUAGGCGGCCUGGUAGGUGAGAUGUGAAAGCCCACGGCUCAACCGUGGAACUGCGUUUCAAACCACCAGGCUUGAGGAUGGCAGGGGUGAUGGGAACUGAUGGUGGAGCGGUGAAAUGCGUUGAUAUCAUCAGGAACACCGGUGGCGAAGGCGCAUCACUGGGCCAUUUCUGACGCUGAGGCACGAAAGCUAGGGUAGCGAACGGG
rnacentral:rRNA from 1 species